rnacentral:rRNA from 1 species
CCUACGGGAGGCAGCAGUGAGGAAUAUUGGUCAAUGGGCGCGAGCCUGAACCAGCCAAGUAGCGUGAAGGAUGACUGCCCUACGGGUUGUAAACUUCUUUUAUAAAGGAUUAAAGUGAGGCACGUGUGCCUUUUUGUAUGUACUUUAUGAAUAAGGAUCGGCUAACUCCGUGCCAGCAGCCGCGGUAAUACGGAGGGUCCGAGCGUUAUCCGGAUUUAUUGGGUUUAAAGGGAGCGUAGGUGGGUUGUUAAGUCAGUUGUGAAAGGUUGGGGCUCAACCGUAAGAUUGCAAUUGAUACUGGCAGUCUUGAGUACAGGUGAGGGAGGCGGAAUUCGUGGUGUAGCAGUGAAAUGCUUAGAUAUCGCGAAGAACUCCGAUUGCGAAGGCAGCUUACUAAACUUCCACUGACAUUGAGGCACGAAAGUGUGGGUAUCAAACAGGAUUAGAUACCCUUGUAGUC